rnacentral:lncRNA from 10 species
GGUGUGUGCCCUCCCUGACUCCUGCCCCAUUUCCAGACCCGGCUCACGCGUACUUCUCACACUAAGCAGUCUCACUGAAGCCACCGCUUGGAAUCUGCGGUGUUUACUGUCUGCCCCGCCCCUUUUGUUUGCCCGUUUGUUAUGGAGGUGUGUGUUUAAACGGGCAAAGCAGCGUGCUGCCAGGGACACCAGGAAAGCCCACUUAGCCAUCAACUGGAGACUCUGACAACUAGAAGAAACCUGGAAGGCCACGUGACAGAUAUGGAGACAGGCUGAGAGAAGGCAAGGGUCAUACAUGCCUGGGUCAUGCAGCCAGCCAGGGACAAAGCCGGGACUUUAGAGCCCAGGUCCUCUGCUCCCUGCCAGGCCUCCUUCCACAAGGACGUGGGCGAUUGCUGAGAGCAGAGCCCCGAGGGAAUGGAAUGGAGGGAACUUGAUUAGAAGGGGGAGAAUACCAAGCACAGGGCCUUGCAGAGCAGGUGCUCCUAAAUGCCCAAGAGAUGCAGGAAGAGAGGGAGAGAUGGGAGUGUCAAGGAAGGGUCUCAGUAGCUCUAUGGGCACCACGUUUCUGGGCUUGGGACAGAGAAAGAAGGGCAGAAGGAAGGGCACCGGAAACACAGCUACACCUAGAUUUGGAAAGCCAGUGACCUCGGAAAGGAUGGUCCGGACAUGGGGAAGACCACGAGCCAGGCUGCACUUGUAGGAAGGACCAGGACCUGAGCCACUGGCAGUAAAGAAAUGUCACUAAGGAAGUGGGGGCAAUGGCAGGAAGUGGGGGUCCAGGGUAAGGAGACAGGAGGCCAGGCUGGGUCUUGUUUGGGAAGAUGCAGCCUCCAUGGGCCAAGCAGGAACAGUAGGAAAACCCUGACGGUGCAGUCCCCACUCUCAGGACGUCCCUGUCUCCAAAGGAAACAGCCACACAACACUGAGGGUGGAAGAGGAUGUCAAUGGGCAGGAAUGGAGCCAAACUCUACGGGAGAACGGAGCUGGCCAGGCAGAGCUGCUGGACACCUGAGGCUCCCUCCUUCCACCACAAACACCACUGCCCCAUGGCCUAGAGAGGAGCGUCACUGUUCUUAGAACCAUCCUCUGACGUGAGCAGGACAAUGACGAUCACCACUGUGUAAAUCCUGACACUGGACCAGAGGAAUUGACUUACCUGCUUCAGGUCAGAGAACCAUGGAUCCAGGUGAGCACAGCCAGAAC